GGAGGGGUGGCAGAGCGGUUUAAUGCACCAGUCUUGAAAACUGGCGUAGGUUAAUAGCCUACCGAGAGUUCGAAUCUCUCCUCCUCCGCCA
rnacentral:tRNA from 26 species